rnacentral:lncRNA from 1 species
CAGUGCCGUGCCCUAGAUAGAGCUCGUCAGGUGCAGUCCCAAGAGCGCCGCAAGCACGCGGGCCCCGUGUGGUACCCGAGCUGUGCCGACAGUAGUGGGCCUUGGUGCUUUGCCGGGACCACCCAUAGCAUCCACCUCUCCGCAAAGAAAGGGUCGUGAAUUCCGGAUGAAAGCAGUUUGGGGGAGGGUCUCAUUUCUUAGCCCAGGCUGGUCUGGAACUCAAAGCAACCCGCCUGCCUCAGCCUCCCAAGUACUGGGAUUACAGUUUCCUCAGAGAGGCCAAGAGCCCCCUGGAUUUGGCAACUUAGAGGAUAUUGGUGACUCCAGGAAGAGCUGCUGGGAAGGUGAACACCAUACCAGACUUCAGGCGUUAAGAGACGGCCAAAGAGGUACAGAGAUGGGAGUACCCUGUGAAAGAGGUGCACGAGGGAUGUCAGAUAGGAGCAUAAAGCAGGGUCAACCUGUACAAUCAGCAGAUUCAACUUCCUUGAGCAAAGAGGAUCCUGUUGGAGGAGGAGCUCACAGCUAAGAGUUUGCCUUCAGUCUCAGAGAAAACUUUG